UGAUGACUGUUCCUCCUGUCGCCUUUAGCUAUGGCGCUAGGAUUUUAGGUCAUCAUAAAUUAAAAUAGAUUUUUUUCACUCAGAGAAUAUUAAGAUGUUGGGAGGCACUUGGUCAUGUCUUUUAGCUCUCAUGGCUGAUUCUCUU
rnacentral:snoRNA from 1 species